rnacentral:rRNA from 1 species
ACUCCUACGGGAGGCAGCAGUGGGGAAUUUUUGGCAAUGGGCGAAAGCCUGACCAAGCAACGCCGCGUGGGUGAUGAAGUAUCUCGGUACGUAAAACCCUUUCGACGGGGACGAAACCGCAAGGUUGACGGUACCCGUAGAAGAAGCCCCGGCUAACUUCGUGCCAGCAGCCGCGGUAAUACGAAGGGGGCUAGCGUUGUUCGGAUUUACUGGGCGUAAAGGGCGCGUAGGCGGUUUUGUAAGUCAGGCGUGAAAGCCCCGGGCUCAACCCGGGAAUUGCGCUUGAUACUGCGGAACUUGAAUCCAGGAGAGGAUGGCGGAAUUCCCAGUGUAGAGGUGAAAUUCGUAGAUAUUGGGAAGAACACCAGUGGCGAAGGCGGCCAUCUGGCCUGGAAUUGACGCUGAGGCGCGAAAGCGUGGGGAGCAAACAGGAUUAGAUACCCUGGUAGUCCACGCCGUAAACGAUGAGUGCUAGACGUCGGGAAGCUUGCUUUUCGGUGUCGACGCUAACGCAUUAAGCACUCCGCCUGGGGAGUACGGCCGCAAGGUUAAAACUUAAAGGAAUUGACG